AAGAAGAGAGAAGAGAUGAAAGGGGAAGACCCAAGUGUGUCUUGGGGCGAAUCAAUAAACCGAGGUGGAGCCAAAAUGAGGUCAUCGAGAUCUAGGGCACAAGGUGUAUAUCAAGCUUGUCGUAAGCAUUGUGAUUGUGGGGCAGAAACAGUAGAGAGGACAUCAUGGACCGAUGAUAAUCCAGGGAGACGGUUCAAAUCUUGCUAUAGGAUGAAAUGGAAUGGGGGUUGUAACUAUUUCCAAUGGAUUGACCCCCCUAUGUGUGAAAGGUCAAAGAUGGUGAUACCUGGUUUGCUAAGAAGAGUACGUGAGUUUGAUGGUGAUCUGGGCAGAUAUUAUGAAUAUGAAGAUAGAUAUGAGUCUUGCUUUGAACCUAGUGUGGAGCCUUUUCAAUGUCAAAAUUGUGGCUAUAUGAAUGGGAGUUUGGAUGGAAGAGUUCAUGCAAGUUCCUGGUUGGUAAAGGGAAAUGUGAGGAAGAUGAUGUUGUUUUUUUUUUUUUUUGUAAUUGUGUAUUGGCUGAAAAAUAUUAUGUAAUGUUCGACUUCCCUGUUUAUUGUAUUUAGUGUUGCUUUCAAGCAUAAUAAAAAUUAUGUAUUUUAUUUA